CCUACGGGCGGCAGCAGUGAGGAAUAUUGGUCAAUGGCCGAGAGGCUGAACCAGCCAAGUCGCGUGAGGGAAGAAUGUCCUAUGGAUUGUAAACCUCUUUUGUCAGGGAGUAAAGUCACCCACGUGUGGGUGUUGGCGAGUACUUGAUGAAAAAGCAUCGGCUAACUCCGUGCCAGCAGCCGCGGUAAUACGGAGGAUGCGAGCGUUAUCCGGAUUUAUUGGGUUUAAAGGGUGCGUAGGGGGGUUAUCAAGUCAGCGGUAAAAUCGUGGAGCUCAACUCCAUACAGCCGUUGAAACUGAUGAUCUUGAGUGGGCGAGAAGUAGGCGGAAUGCGUGGUGUAGCGGUGAAAUGCAUAGAUAUCACGCAGAACUCCGAUUGCGAAGGCAGCAUACCAACGCCCGACUGACGCUGAAGCACGAAAGCGUGGGUAUCGAACAGGAUUAGAUACCCGGGUAGUC
rnacentral:rRNA from 1 species